rnacentral:lncRNA from 1 species
AUGGAUCGGGUUCUGCUGUGCGCCCUGGCACCGUCCGGGGCUCCCCAGUCUGGCCAGGAGGAGUCUCUGGGCUGCACCUGGAGGUCCGAGACUGAAGCCACGAAGGUUGCCCGUCUCCUGCAAGCAGCGACACGCGGAGCAGCCAAGGGCGCCUUUGGAGAAUGGAAAUACUACGCGUUUCUCACCACAAUAUUUGUUGCUGUAUUAGUUUUAAUUGGCCUCUUCUGCUUUUACUCCAAAUUCCGGAACUGUGCCCAGUCCUGUAUUAGGCGAGAUCCUUUUGAAGAGCUAGAAGAGGAUGAUUUUGACAUUCCUUGGGAAACCAAUCUCAUAGAGCGCCCCGAGCCCUACGGUGCCUGCAUAAGCCCACCCCAAAGCAUAUCCGGCGGAAACACCCGAGUCUCCAGGAAUGAGGAUGUCCGGUUGCCCUUUGCUCCAGCAGAUCUUGGGAGAAGACUGGUGUCUCGUUCCCCAUCUCAUACCCUUCAGGGGAUUGUUGGCCCUGGUUUCCCCUCAGAGACUCUUGGUGAGAGGACCGGCCAAGGUUCCUCCUCAGAGAGUAUCUUUACCAUAGAAGACCUGGAGUAGAUGGUGGUAUUUUUGACUGUCCUCUCAGGCCAGCUCCUGAUACACUUCGCAAAGAAACAGCAUGUAGAAUCAUAGACAUAUUACUUUCAGGGUUAUACCAAUGAGAUAUGCAGUGCUUUUAAUUGACUCAACCAGUGGUUCCCAACCUUGAGGAACCCAGGUGUUCUUGGACUGCAACUCCCAGAAGCCUUCCCCACUCACUGUGCUGGCCAGGGUUUCUGGGAGUUGUAGUCCAAGAAUAUCUGGGAGACCCAAGGAUGGGAACCACUGGACUAGAUGAACAAUGCAUUUUUACAUGGAGUCGUUCAUUUUUCUGAAUUUGCCCAUGGCCAUCUUCCACACCCAAAGCUGACUUGUCUUUGUAAUACCUCCAUGUCAAUUCUUCUCCUAUACAUUCACUGCUCCUUGAAUCGAGGCAUUACUUUACCACCAUUUAGUUCAAGACCCAAGGUUGGGAACCACUGUUCCAAAGGAAUUGCAGUCACUGAGUCCUACCUUGGUGAACAGACUUAGUUCUGCACUGCCCAUCAUCAUUCAUCCAAGAGGGGUAAAAUAUGGAGGUUGUCCUGGACAGAAUUCCUUAACACCCAGGUGGACUACUUAUUAGCUUUCCAUGGAUGCCAUUCCCACCAUCCCUUAGCAUCUACUAGGCCUGAUGGGAUAUCCAAUCCAGCAACAACUGGAGGCCUACAGCUGCCCAGAUCUUCCUGAACUAUUGCACUGAAACAGGACUUCCCAACUUUGGGUCCCUGGGUGUGUUCUUUUAGCAUCUACUAGGCCUGAUGGGAUAUCUAAUCCUCCUGAACGAUUGCCACUGAAACAGGGGUUGCCAACUUCGGAUCCCCGGGUGUGUUCUUGGACUAAAACUCUCAAAGGCCUUUGCCUGUGCUGGCCAGGAUUUCUGAGAGUUGUGAUCCAAGAACAUCUGGAUCACCCAAGGCUGGGAAGCAUUACAUUAAAAUAUGGCUGAGUUGCAGUAUGAUACAGCUGUGGAACCAACAACUGGAUCUCUGUAUUUGUGGAGGAAAUCUUGUUUAUUGAGUGUUACUUUCUGUUUAUGCAGCUGUUCCUCCUUGCUAUGUAUUGUCUACCAGAUGUCAGAAAUGAAAGGGGUGUUUGUGUAGCUCACACAGGAGCAGAUACCACAGGUUAACUCAAAGCGUUUUUAGACUUGAGAAGUGUAUGAGAGACACCUUUUCUUGAAGAGACAGGCAAAAAAUGUGAUGCUUCUGAGAUUAGGGAACCAGGUGUUUUUUUAAAAGCGCAGACUAGAAGUCUGUUUCUAAAUGUAUGUACCAAAUUGCUAAUAAAAGAUAUACAAAAUUUUGAACCUGGCCUCUU